rnacentral:rRNA from 1 species
GAUGAACGCUGGCGGCGUGCCUAAUACAUGCAAGUCGAGCGAACAGACGAUGAUCUUGCUCCUCUGACGUUAGCGGCGGACGGGUGUGUAACACGUGGAUAACCUACCUAUAUGACUGAGAAAACUUCGGGAAACCGGAGCUUAUACCGGAUAACAUGUUGAACCGCAUGGUUCAACAGUGAAAGACGGUCUUGCUGUCACUUCUAGAUGGAUCCCCGCCGGAUUAGCUCGUUGGUAAGGGAACGGCUUACCAAGGCAACCAUGCGUAGCCGACCUGAGUGGGUGAUCGGCCACAAUGGAGCUGAGACACGGUCAAGACUCCUACGGGAGGAAGCAGUAGGGUAUCUUCCGCAAUGGGCGAAAGUAUGACGGAACAACGCCGCGUCAGAGGAGAAGGUCUUCGGAUCGUAAAAAUCGGUUAUUAGGUAAGAACAAAUUUCUAAGUAACUGUGGACGUCUUGACGGUAACUGAUCAGAAAGCCACGGCUAACUACGUG